rnacentral:lncRNA from 13 species
AUGCUGUUAAGAGCACUUCUCUCUCUUCUCAUCCUUCUUCCAGGCCCCAGUUCCCUUGUAGAGAGAGAAAAGGAAGACCCUGUUGGUUCUUGCCACGUGGAAGGCAACAACAGCACCAUGCUGUUAAGAGCACUUCUCUCUCUUCUCAUCCUUCUUCCAGGGCCCAGUUCCCUUGUAGAGAGAGAAAAGGAAGACCCCAAAAAGGAAGGAGGGGAAGAAGGAAGAGGCAGAGAGAAAGAAGUGACUGAGUUCAAAAGUGCCAGAUCAGCCCUUCCCAAAUUUGCAGAGCCAGAUGUGGGCAUUCGCAGAAAGCUGAUCUUGCUCCCCUUAGGAGAAGCAAUGCUGAUGGCAGAUGGCCUGGUGGAAGGAGCAGGGGACAAGGAGUUAGAGGGCCUUGGUCCUCUUCUGAUCAUGCAGCAGCUUGGUCCUUGGACUUCAGGAGUUUGCAGUCUGAUGGAGGAGUUGGCAUGA